UGGGGAAUCUUGCACAAUGGAGGAAACUCUGAUGCAGCGACGCCGCGUGAGCGAUGAAGCCCUUCGGGGUGUAAAGCUCUUUCGGCCGGGACGAUAAUGACGGUACCGGCAGAAGAAGCUGCGGCUAACUACGUGCCAGCAGCCGCGGUAAUACGUAGGCAGCAAGCGUUGUUCGGAAUUACUGGGCGUAAAGAGUGUGUAGGCGGUCGACUAAGUUCGGUGUGAAAUCUCCCGGCUCAACCGGGAGGGUGCGCCGGAAACUGGCCGACUGGAGCGUGGGAGAGGAAAGCGGAAUUCCUGGUGUAGCGGUGAAAUGCGUAGAGAUCAGGAGGAACACCAGCGGUGUAGACGGCUUUCUGGACCAUGGCUGACGCUGAGACACGAAAGCGUGGGGAGCAAACAG
rnacentral:rRNA from 1 species